rnacentral:rRNA from 1 species
UACGUAGGGUGCGAGCGUUAUCCGGAAUUACUGGGCGUAAAGCGUGCGCAGGCGGUUUGUUAAGUCUGCUGUGAAAUCCCCGAGCUCAACUUGGGAAUUGCAGUGGAUACUGGCAAGCUGGAGUACGGUAGAGGAAGGUGGAAUUCCCGGUGUAGCAGUGAAAUGCGUAGAGAUCGGGAGGAACACCAGUGGCGAAGGCGGCCUUCUGGACCAGUACUGACGCUCAGGCACGAAAGCGUGGGGAGCAAACAGG